UACAGAGGGUGCGAGCGUUAGUCGGAAUUACUGGGCGUAAAGCGCGCGUAGGCGGCUUUUCAAGUCGAUUGUGAAAUCCCCGGGCUUAACCUGGGAACUGCAGUCGAGACUGUCUAGCUAGAGUAUGGGAGAGGGAAGUGGAAUUUCAGGUGUAGCGGUGAAAUGCGUAGAUAUCUGAAGGAACAUCAGUGGCGAAAGCGACUUCCUGGACCAAUACUGACGCUCAUGUGCGAAAGCGUGGGGAGCAAACAGG
rnacentral:rRNA from 1 species